AGUGUUUCUACCAGCACUGCAACUCCUGAUGCUUUGGAAUUAAAAUAUUAUCCUGAUUUGAUUGAAGUCACUUUUGAUGAUGAUAUUGAUACUGAUAGACUUGAGCUUUACUUUGAAAGCAAACAGUCUGGAGGGAAGAAAGAAAAAAAUGUUGAAUCUAUCAAAAUUAUUGAAGAGGGUGUCAUUCAUGUCAAGUUUAAAUCAUCAGAAGAUGCAGCAGCUGUUAUUGCACAAGGAGAGCAUUCAAUCAAAA